GGGUCAUUAGCUCAGUUGGUAGAGCAGCUGACUCUUAAUCAGCGGGCCACAGGUUCGAUCCCUGUAUGACCCA
rnacentral:tRNA from 1 species